rnacentral:SRP_RNA from 4 species
CGCCGGGAACUGCGCGGCAACCGGACGGUGAACUCCGCCAGGACCGGAAGGUAGCAACGGUAAAUCGCACUGGGGCGCGACGCACCCUUCCCGGCAUCC